AUUGAACGCUGGCGGCAGGCUUAACACAUGCAAGUCGAGCGGAGAUGAGGUGCUUGCACCUUAUCUUAGCGGCGGACGGGUGAGUAAUGCUUAGGAAUCUGCCUAUUAGUGGGGGACAACAUUCCGAAAGGAAUGCUAAUGCCGCAUACGCCCUACGGGGGAAAGCAGGGGAUCUUCGGACCUUGCGCCAAUAGAUGAGCCUAGGUCGGAUUAGCUAGUUGGUGGGGUAAAGGCCUACCAAGGCGACGAUCUGUAGCGGGUCUGAGAGGAUGAUCCGCCACACUGGGACUGAGACACGGCCGAGCCUCCUACGGGAGGCAGCGGUGGGGAAUAUUGGACAGUGGGCGGAAGCCUGAUCCAGCCAUGCCGCGUGUGUGAAGAAGGCCUUUUGGUUGUAAAGCACUUUAAGCGAGGAGGAGGCUACCUGGAUUAAUACUCUAGGAUAGUGGACGUUACUCGCAGAAUAAGCACCGGCUAACUCUGUGCCAGCCGCCGCCGUAAGAC
rnacentral:rRNA from 1 species